rnacentral:rRNA from 1 species
UGGGAAAUCUUCCGCAAUGGACGAAAGUCUGACGGAGCAACGCCGCGUGAGUGAAGAAGGUUUUCGGAUCGUAAAGCUCUUUCGUCAGGGACGAACGUAUUUCUUGUAAAUAAUGAGAGAUAGUGACGGUACCUGAAUAAGAAGCCACGGCUAACUACGUGCCAGCAGCCGCGGUAAUACGUAGGUGGCAAGCGUUGUCCGGAAUUAUUGGGCGUAAAGCGCGCGCAGGCGGGAUAUCAAGUCUGUCUUAAAAGUGCGAGGCUCAACCUCGUGAGGGGACAGAAACUGGUAUUCUUGAGUGUCGGAGAGGAAAGUGGAAUUCCAAGUGUAGCGGUGAAAUGCGUAGAGAUUUGGAAGAACACCAGUGGCGAAGGCGACUUUCUGGACGAUGUCUGACGCUGAGGCGCGAAAGCUAGGGGAGCGAACGG